UACGUAGGUGGCAAGCGUUGUCCGGAAUUACUGGGCGUAAAGCGUGCGCAGGCGGCUUUGCAAGACAGAUGUGAAAUCCCCGGGCUUAACCUGGGAACUGCAUUUGUGACUGCAUCGCUGGAGUGCGGCAGAGGGGGAUGGAAUUCCGCGUGUAGCAGUGAAAUGCGUAGAUAUGCGGAGGAACACCGAUGGCGAAGGCAAUCCCCUGGGCCUGCACUGACGCUCAUGCACGAAAGCGUGGGGAGCAAACAGG
rnacentral:rRNA from 1 species